AACUCAUCCAGAGGGGUGGAGGGAUCGGCCCUAUGAAACCCCGGCAACCGCAGGCAGCAAUGCUUGGACUGGUGCUAAGUCCGACAGAAUCAUUCUGGAAGAUGAGGG
rnacentral:ncRNA from 2 species